CCCCAUUCCCAGUACUGGGGCGUUGCUAGCCCUCCCUAGAGAGGGCGAGGGAGAGGAGGAUGCUGUGCCUGGAGAGCGGCUCUUAAGAGCUGGAAUCUCGGCAAAGCGUCCACUCCCUCCCCUCCCUUUUCCUCUCACCUCUAGUAUUCCCACCAGCCCCGGGGAGGAGACAAAGGACGUAGGAGGGCAGCAGCAUGCAGGGGCCUGCCUUUGACGCCCAGGAGUUGAACACCAGACAGAAAAUGAAAUCUAAACAUUUACACAGAGCCCUGGGCUAGAAAUGUGCCAACCUGACCCUGGAAAACAACCCGCGUCACCGCCACACCUGCUGCAGGCCCCAGAUGCCACAAUGAGGUUUUGCUCUGUUGCCCAGGCUGGUCUCAAACUCCUGGACAAGCAAUCUGCCUGCCCUGGCCUUCCAAAAGUCCUAAGAUUUCAGGUGUGACUCACCGCGCCCAGCCUCAGGUUGCCUUAAAGAAAAGUUUCUGUAUAUUAAAUAUAAACUAUAUGAUGCACAACUUCCCUGUAAGCCUCCUAAAAAGAUGAUCCAAGUAAAUUGGUGGGAUGGAUGGAAAUCCCAUAUUGUUUCAUGUAUUUCAUGGGCCUCUCU
rnacentral:lncRNA from 1 species